GACGAACGCUGGCGGCGUGCUUAACACAUGCAAGUCGUACGGUAAGGCCCUUUCGGGGGUACACGAGUGGCGAACGGGUGCGUAACACGUGAGUAACCUGCCCACAACUUUGGGAUAACGCUAGGAAACUGGUGCUAAUACUGGAUAUGUGCUCCUGCUGCAUGGUGGGGGUUGGAAAGCUCCGGCGGUUGUGGAUGGACUCGCGGCCUAGCAGCUUGUUGGUGGGGUAGUGGCCUACCAAGGCGGCGACGGGUAGCCGGCCUGAGAGGGUGACCGGCCACAUUGGGACUGAGAUACGGCCCAGACUCCUACGGGAGGCAGCAGUGGGGAAUAUUGCACAAUGGGCGCAAGCCUGAUGCAGCAACGCCGCGUGCGGGAUGACGGCCUUCGGGUUGUAAACCGCUUUCAGCAGGGACGAAGCUUUUUGUGACGGUACCUGCAGAAGAAGCACCGGCUAACUACGUG
rnacentral:rRNA from 1 species